rnacentral:lncRNA from 1 species
AUGACGAAAACAUUUAAGUGUGUGGAAAAUGGAGGUAAAGAUCACUGCCUUGAAAUCAAGAUGUUUGUGGUCUUUCUGAGGUAUCCACUCCUGGAUAUGGUGUUAUCCUCUCUAAUUCCUUGCGUUCCUCAUCUGAUGAAGUCCACCUUGGUCCAUAGCAAGAAUGCUGCUUACUCAACAACAGGAGGAUAUGGCCAUGGUCAAGACACCUUGCUUCGUAGGGAAGACUUCCUUGUCAUUGCCAGCAAUGAUUUGGACAAUAUAACCCUCCAUCCUUCACCUAUAGCAUCAGCAGCAACUUCUGUGGCCAUACACCUUUCAUAAAAGGUAUAAAGUUUACAUUCAUCAUCUACUUCAGUGAAUUUCUGGAUGCCAGUAACUGGAAAAUAGAUAUAUUCAGCUUCAUCCUAGAGUAGCCUACUGCCUCUGAG